GGGAAGUCUGGAAGAUAAGCGGUGGAAAAUGGAUGGAUGGAUGAAUAGUUUAUAGUAAUAGUAAUAGUGAGGUCCCCCAACAGUGUGUGUAAUCUUCUGGUCUGUACAGUGUAUACAUUAAUUCCCCCAGCAGUCUAUGUCUAUUGCAGCUUAACUAAGAGAUUAACAAUGACUAACAAUCAUUGCCAGUGACUUGAACCAUCUCUAACCAUAAGCUUUAACAAAAAGGAAGGUUUAAGCCUGAUCUUAAAGGUGGAGAGUGUGUCAGUUUCUCAACCCUGAACAGGGAGCUGGUUCUAGAGGAGAGAAGCUUGGUAGCUAAACGCUCUGCCUCCCAUUUAUACAUUUAAAGAAUCUAGGAACCAAAAGUAGCCCAGCGCUCUGAGAACAUAGUGUUCUGCUGGGAACAUAAGGAAAUAUGAGGUCUUUAAGAUAUGAAGUAGCCUUAUUAUUAAGUGAUUUGUAGGUGAGUAUGGGAAUUUUAAAUUCUAUCCUACAUUUUACAGGCAGACAGUGCAGAGAAGCUAAUGUAGGAGAAAUGUGAUCUUUCUUCCUAGGUCCCAUCAGAACUCGGGUUGUAGCCAUUUGAAUAAAUGUUAGGUAUUUAAAGGAGCUGUUAGGACUUUCUACAAGUAAGGAGUUACAGUAGUCCAGCCUAGAGGUAACAAAUGCAUGGUUCCGUUUCUCUGCAUCGCUCUGAGAGAGGAUGCUUCUGAUUUUAACUAUAUUUCCAAGGUGAACAUAGGCGGUUCUGGAGGUUUGUUUAAUGUAUGAUGUAAAAGAGAGACCCUGGUCAAAGAUGACACCUGGGUUCUUCAUAGUCUGAAUCUGAAGCUAACGUUAUGCCAUCCAGGGUGGCUAUCGUUAAAAUUAACAAACUGGAAUCUGUUCAACAAGUAGGAUUUAAACCAUCCCAGUGCUGUACCUUUAAUUCUAAUGUUAUGUUCUAGUCUCUAUAAUAGAAUGGUAUGAUCAAUUGUAUCAAAUGCAGCACUAAGAUCUAACAAGGACAAAAACUAGACCAUUGUCUGAAGCUAAGAGAAGAUGAUUAGUGACUUUAACUAGAACUGUUUCUGUGCUUUCUGUGUUUCUAUAUUUUUUAAAUCCUGACUGAAAAUCUUCGUACAGGUUAUUCCCACUCAGUUGGUCAGAUAAUUGUUUAGCCAUGUUUUUUUCAAGAAUCUUAAAAAAAGGGUACAUUUGAAAGUUAGUGGCUAGUUGUCCAGGGGUCCAGAGUAGUUUUUUUCAAUAAAGGUUUGACCACAGCCACCUUAAAAGACUAUAUGUAAAGACUGGUUUCUUCUUUAAGUAAUCUUGUUGGAAUUGGGUCUAAAAGACAAGUAGACGACUUGGAAGAGUUAAUUAUUGAAGUUAACUCCAUAUGAGUUAUGGGGGAAAAGCUCUCUAAGUAAGACAGAGGAGUUGGUAAUUUUCUUUAUCCAUUCCAGCUGCUCCGUUUGGACCAUGUCACGGAGCUCUGCGGGAAAACACGGGGAGGCAGAACCUGCUUCUUUAUUAACAAAGGCAGAAAUCUAAAACUUGUAAACCUGUGGUCAGGACGGUGAAAAGUUGGAUGGAGGAUUCCAAACUGGAGCUGCAGGGCUGCUUUGACUCUACUGACUGGGAAGUUUUUGAAGUCACAGACAUCCAUGAGCUCACUGACACUGUGACAGCUUUCAUCAGUUUUUGUGAGGACAUGUGUAUACAAUCGAAAAAUGUACGCAGAUACAACAACUACAACAAACCAUCUUUUUCACUGGACUUAUCGGCCAAGGAACCCCUGCCGGCACUUAGGAUCUGUGAAGGAGAUGUCUGUCGACUCCUUCAGAGGCAGGAAGCAAGAAAGGCACACGGACCUGACUGUGUUACCCCAACCUGCCUGAGAUCUUCAACAGGUCUCUGCAGCUGUCUACAGUGCCCAACUGCUUCAGACAGUCCACCAUCGUGCCCCUACCUAAAAAGUCCACCAUCACCAGCCUGAAUGGUUACAGACAUGUCGCCCUGACAUCCGUAGUCAUGAAAACCUUUGAGAGUUUGGUCCUGAGGCAUCUGAAGGACAUCACAGACCCCCUGUUGGACCCCUGCAGUUUGCCUACAGAAAAAACAGAUCGGCUGAUGAUGCAGUAAACCUGGGACUGCACCACAUCCUUCAGCACCUGGAUAUGCCUGGCACAUAUGCCAGGAUUCUGUUUGUGGACUUCAGUUCUGCUUUUAACACCAUCACCCUGGGAAUACUCCACCACAAACUGACCCAGCUCGCCAUCCCCAACUUCACUUGCCAAUGGAUCAGGAGCUUCCUGACCAACAGGAGGCAGCAGGUGAGGCUGGGCAGCAUCACAUCUGGCACACGCACCAUCAGCACCGGCGCACCACAUGGGUGCAUUCUCUCCCCACUGCUCUUCUCCCUCUAUACCAACGAUUGCAUCUUAGGGAACCCGUCUAUGAAACUCCUGAAGUAUGCAGACGACAUGACCGUCAUUGGGCUCAUCCAGGACGGUGAUGAGUCUGCAUACAGACGGGAGGUUGGAGCAGCUGGUUCAGUGGUGCAGUCAGAACCAGCUGAAGCUCAACAUGGUCAAGACUAUGGAGAUGACAGUGGAUUUCGGGAAGAAUCGCCCCCUUCCCCCCCACCAUCCACAACAACAUAGUGUCUACGGUUGACUCAUUCAGGUUCCUAGGGUCCAUAAUCUCACAGAACCUGAAGUGGGCCCCCCACAUAGACACUGUCCACAAAAAGGUCCAGCAAAGGUUGUACUUUCUGAGACAGCUUAGAAAGUUAAUCUGCCCCAGGAGCUGCUGACCAUCUUCUACACGGCCAUCAUCCAGUCUGUCCUCUGCACCUCCAUCACUGACAAACACAGACUGCAGCGGGUGGCCCGGUCAGCAGAGAAAAUCAUUGGGACUAAGCUUCCAUCCAUUGAGCAUCUGUACCAGGCCAGACUCAAAAACUAACAUCGAGCAGCAAGCAUCAUUGAUGACAGCCCACAUACCCCACACACAAACUGUUAAAACUCCGCUCCUCUGGCAGGCAUCACAGAGCUAUUGCCACCAGAACCACCAAACACAGUGCUAGCUUCUUCCCCCAGGCUGUGUCCGAGCUGAACUCCAUCACAUAGAGAAAGGACUCAGUAAAAACACGUGUGGUGCAAUUUUAAUUUAUUUUAUUCUUUAUUUCCUUUAUGCAAACAAUGUAUGUAUAUAACUGUAAACUGAUAUUUAAAUAAUUACUGUUCAGUAAGAAGGUAUGAAAAGGCCAGAUGCAAUCGGUUGUUUGUCUAUGCAAACCUGGCAAAUAAAACAAUUCUGAUUCUGAAAAAGUCA